CAUAAUACACUUAAAAACUCAAAACGUUGAUUUAGCAUGAUAUGGGCCCUUUAAAAACGACCAUGUCAAACAAUUUGGCUGCACAGCAUUUAUUUUCUUAUAAAAUUAUAAUAUUUUCCCACAUAUGUUUUUAGGAUAGGGGGUUAACAAUAGCAUGUGAUAGAUAAAGCAAAAACUUGAAGUAUGUUCGAAUGGAAUUUAAUGCAUUCUCUUUUAUCUUCUUAUGUAACAGAAUUUCACAUAAAACAAACGAUGGAGAAAAAAACUCGUAAUGUUUAUGUUUAGCAUCACAACAGACUGUUAGCUUCCACAUUCUGCUGUUGUGGUAAGCUAGCUUGACUUUCACGCCGCCGCAAGAGCUGACACAGUAAUCAGUUAUACUGCUUGAUGUUAGAUAUCUCAAUGUUUAAUGAGAAUUAAAUGCAUGAAUGCGCUGAAAAGUUUGGCAGUUCGCUUGUCAGGUCUUGUUUCAGGGAACCGCUCAUUAGCAUAGCAGCUAUGAGGUUAGAUAACAGGAGUUACCUUCAUCUGAGUCCCGACGGCCUGCGUUAAAUAUUUGUAUGCUUGGUGCCGGUGUGCGGACGGCCGCACCAAACUACCAAAAUGUUUAAAAUUCUAACAUUUCUGCCCUCCGGUAAUUUAAACAACCUCCAAAAUAGGACCCCAUGAAAAGUCAUAUUGCUGACUGAUACUGUUUGUCUAUUAAAAAUGUAUCGUUUUGUUAACAUUUGCUAACUUUAUGAGACGAACCUCUAAUUUACACAUGUCUCUUUGGACCACCAACACAACAUCAUCAAAUUUAGGUGCAAAGUUGACUAAAAAGUUCCCAGGAUGGUUUUUAAGGACUACUUAAUACCUCAUACCACUCUGUCUGACAAACUGCUCGGGCGUUUAAGUGUCGCCGGAGUGCCAGCGCGUUCAAACCAAACGAACCCACCACCACCACGACAGCUAAGCUAGCUGAGCCGGACCCCAGACGAGCCAGGCCAGGCGGGUCGGCGAAACCAUCAACAGGGAAACUGAGGCCACCUGCAAGUACAGAUAUUGCAGCGCACGGUCGUGCCAAAUACUCACUCUGUAACCAGCCAGAUGAAGUCGGCGUUGUUGGCUGUUCAGAGACGUUCAACAACAAACAACAGUCAGCACCAGGAGGAGUCCUUAGUUACACUCAGUUUAAUCAAAGCAGCUUUUCAAAACUUAAACAGGAGGUCAGGUUAACUUGAAGCAAUAUGCAAAGCAAUACAUUUGCUAAAAAAUGAUCAGCAUUUUAGGUGAUGGAAUGAUAUCUUUUAGGUUUCUUCUUCACUUCGGGAGAGAUUCUUCUGUCAUAUUUCUCAUUCAGCCUUGAUUUGUCUUCUGAACAGAACAACCAGCAAGUGUCUUUUCACGCUUCCGACAACAUUUGAAAGACUUCAGACUGAAGCAUGGACUGAGUAAUGACAUCAUGAACUCCAACAACCACAUCCCCAUUCAGUGUCCUGGCUGAGUGCAGUUACAACAAAUAAAGAAGAACUGUUUCCCUUGAAGGAAAACAGAAAUAACCAAG